rnacentral:rRNA from 1 species
GGAUGAACGCUGGCGGCGUGCCUACUACAUGCAAGUCGAGCGAACAGACGAGGAGCUUGCUCCUCUGACGUUAGCGGCGGACGGGUGAGUAACACGUGGAUAACCUACCUAUAAGACUGGGAUAACUUCGGGAAACCGGAGCUAAUACCGGAUAAUAUAUUGAACCGCAUGGUUCAAUAGUGAAAGACGGUUUUGCUGUCACUUAUAGAUGGAUCCGCGCCGCAUUAGCUAGUUGGUAAGGUAACGGCUUACCAAGGCGACGAUGCGUAGCCGACCUGAGAGGGUGAUCGGCCACACUGGAACUGAGACACGGUCCAGACUCCUACGGGAGGCAGCAGUAGGGAAUCUUCCGCAAUGGGCGAAAGCCUGACGGAGCAACGCCGCAUGAGUGAUGAAGGUCUUCGGAUCGUAAAACUCUGUUAUUAGGGAAGAACAAAUGUGUAAGUAACUAUGCACGUCUUGACGGUACCUAAUCAGAAAGCCACGGCUAACUACGUG